rnacentral:rRNA from 1 species
GGGUUGUGAGGUUAAGCGACUAAGCGUACACGGUGGAUGCCCGGCAGUCAGAGGCGAUGAAGGACGUGCUAAUCUGCGAUAAGCGCCGGUAAGGUGAUAUGAACCGUUAUAACCGGCGAUUUCCGAAUGGGGAAACCCAGUGUGAUUCGUCACACUAUCAUUAACUGAAUCCAUAGGUUAAUGAGGCGAACCGGGGGAACUGAAACAUCUAAGUACCCCGAGGAAAAGAAAUCAACCGAGAUUCCCCAGUAGCGGCGAGCGAACGGGGAGGAGCCCAGAGCCUGAAUCAGCAUGUGUGUUAGUGGAAGCGUCUGGAAAGGUGCGCGAUACAGGGUGACAGCCCCGUACACAAAAGCGCAUGUGCUGUGAGCUCGAUGAGUAGGGCGGGACACGUGGUAUCCUGUCUGAAUAUGGGGGACCAUCCUCCAAGGCUAAAUACUCCUGACUGACCGAUAGUGAACCAGUACCGUGAGGGAAAGGCGAAAAAGAACCCCGGCGAGGGGAGUGAAAAAGAACCUGAAACCGUGUACGUACAAGCAGUGGGAGCACAGGUUUACCUGUGUGACUGCGUACCUUUUGUAUAAUGGGUCAGCGACUUAUAUUCUGUAGCAAGGUUAACCGUAUAGGGGAGCCGGAGGGAAACCGAGUCUUAACCGGGCGUUAAGUUGCAGGGUAUAGACCCGAAACCCGGUGAUCUAGCCAUGGGCAGGUUGAAGGUUGGGUAACACUAACUGGAGGACCGAACCGACUAAUGUUGAAAAAUUAGCGGAUGACCUGUGGCUGGGGGUGAAAGGCCAAUCAAACCGGGAGAUAGCUGGUUCUCCCCGAAAGCUAUUUAGGUAGCGCCUCGUGAAUUCAUCUCCGGGGGUAGAGCACUGUUUCGGCUAGGGGGCCAUCCCGGCUUACCAACCCGAUGCAAACUGCGAAUACCGGAGAAUGUUAUCACGGGAGACACACGGCGGGUGCUAACGUCCGUCGUGAAGAGGGAAACAACCCAGACCGCCAGCUAAGGUCCCAAAGUCAUGGUUAAGUGGGAAACGAUGUGGGAAGGCCCAGACAGCCGGGAUGUUGGCUUAGAAGCAGCCAUCAUUUAAAGAAAGCGUAAUAGCUCACUGGUCGAGUCGGCCUGCGCGGAAGAUGUAACGGGGCUAAACCAUGCACCGAAGCUGCGGCAGCGACGCUGAUGCGUUGUUGGGUAGGGGAGCGUUCUGUAAGCCUGCGAAGGUGACCUGUGAGGGUUGCUGGAGGUAUCAGAAGUGCGAAUGCUGACAUAAGUAACGAUAAAGCGGGUGAAAAGCCCGCUCGCCGGAAGACCAAGGGUUCCUGUCCAACGUUAAUCGGGGCAGGGUGAGUCGACCCCUAAGGCGAGGCCGAAAGGCGUAGUCGAUGGGAAACGGGUUAAUAUUCCCGUACUUGGUGUUACUGCGAAGGGGGACGGAGAAGGCUAUGUUGGCCGGGCGACGGUUGUCCCGGUUUAAGCGUGUAGGUGUGUGUUCGAGGUAAAUCCGGUUCACUUUAACACUGAGGCGUGAUGACGAGGCACUACGGUGCUGAAGCAACAAAUGCCCUGCUUCCGGGAAAAGCCUCUAAGCAUCAGGUAACAUCAAAUCGUACCCCAAACCGACACAGGUGGUCAGGUAGAGAAUACCAAGGCGCUUGAGAGAACUCGGGUGAAGGAACUAGGCAAAAUGGUGCCGUAACUUCGGGAGAAGGCACGCUGACACGUAGGUGAAGUGAUUUACUCACGGAGCUGAAGUCAGUCGAAGAUACCAGCUGGCUGCAACUGUUUAUUAAAAACACAGCACUGUGCAAACACGAAAGUGGACGUAUACGGUGUGACGCCUGCCCGGUGCCGGAAGGUUAAUUGAUGGGGUCAGCGCAAGCGAAGCUCCUGAUCGAAGCCCCGGUAAACGGCGGCCGUAACUAUAACGGUCCUAAGGUAGCGAAAUUCCUUGUCGGGUAAGUUCCGACCUGCACGAAUGGCGUAAUGAUGGCGGGCUGUCUCCACCCGAGACUCAGUGAAAUUGAACUCGCUGUGAAGAUGCAGUGUACCCGCGGCAAGACGGAAAGACCCCGUGAACCUUUACUAUAGCUUGACACUGAACAUUGAGCCUUGAUGUGUAGGAUAGGUGGGAGGCUUUGAAGUGUGGACGCCAGUCUGCAUGGAGCCGACCUUGAAAUACCACCCUUUAAUGUUUGAUGUUCUAACGUGGACCCGUAAUCCGGGUUGCGGACAGUGUCUGGUGGGUAGUUUGACUGGGGCGGUCUCCUCCUAAAGAGUAACGGAGGAGCACGAAGGUUGGCUAAUCUGGUCGGACAUCAGGAGGUUAGUGCAAUGGCAUAAGCCAGCUUGACUGCGAGCGUGACGGCGCGAGCAGGUGCGAAAGCAGGUCAUAGUGAUCCGGUGGUUCUGAAUGGAAGGGCCAUCGCUCAACGGAUAAAAGGUACUCCGGGGAUAACAGGCUGAUACCGCCCAAGAGUUCAUAUCGACGGCGGUGUUUGGCACCUCGAUGUCGGCUCAUCACAUCCUGGGGCUGAAGUAGGUCCCAAGGGUAUGGCUGUUCGCCAUUUAAAGUGGUACGCGAGCUGGGUUUAGAACGUCGUGAGACAGUUCGGUCCCUAUCUGCCGUGGGCGCUGGAGAACUGAGGGGGCUGCUCCUAGUACGAGAGGACCGGAGUGGACGCAUCACUGGUGUUCGGGUUGUCAUGCCAAUGGCACUGCCCGGUAGCUAAAUGCGGAAGAGAUAAGUGCUGAAAGCAUCUAAGCACGAAACUUGCCCCGAGAUGAGUUCUCCCUGAGACUUAGAGUCUCCUGAAGGAACGUUGAAGACGACGACGUUGAUAGGCCGGGUGUGUAAGCGCAGCGAUGCGUUGAGCUAACCGGUACUAAUGAACCGUGAGGCUUAACCUUACAACGCCGAAG